AGAAUCAACGCUGGCGGCGUGCCUAACACAUGCAAGUCGAACGAGAAAGUGGAGCAAUCCAUGAGUAAAGUGGCGACCGGGUGAGUAACACGUGACUAACCUACCUUCGAGUGGGGGAUAACCUCGGGAAACCGAGGCUAAUACCGCAUAACAUCGUGAGAUCAAAGCAGUAAUGCGCUGGAAGAGGGGGUCGCGGCUGAUUAGCUAGUUGGCGGGGUAAUGGCCCACCAAGGCGAAGAUCGGUAGCCGGCCUGAGAGGGCGCACGGCCACACUGGAACUGAAACACGGUCCAGACUCCUACGGGAGGCAGCAGUGGGGAAUUUUGCGCAAUGGGGGAAACCCUGACGCAGCAACGCCGCGUAGAGGAUGAAGUCCCUUGGGACGUAAACUCCUUUCGACCAAGACGAUAAUGACGGUACUGGUGGAAGAAGCACCGGCUAACUCUGUGCCAGCAGCCGC
rnacentral:rRNA from 1 species